rnacentral:rRNA from 1 species
CUCGUAGGCGGCCAACUAAGUCACACGUGAAAUCCCCAGGCUCAACCUGGGAACUGCGUGUGAUACUGGAUGGCUUGAAUUCGGGAGAGGGAUGCAGAAUUCCAGGUGUAGCGGUGAAAUGCGUAGAUAUCUGGAGGAAUACCGGUGGCGAAGGCGGCAUCCUGGACCGACAUUGACGCUGAGGAGCGAAAGCUAGGGGAGACGAAACG